rnacentral:lncRNA from 1 species
UGACAGGGCCACAGCCAAGCCCAUCUUGGUGCUGCUGCCCGUGCUGGGGCUGACGUGGGUGUGUGGGGUCCUUGUCCACCUCAGCAUUGUCUGGGCCUAUGUCUUCAUCGUGCUCAACUCCCUCCAGGGCCUGUAUAUAUUCCUGGUCUAUGCAAUCUAUAACAGCGAGGUAAGAGAUAUCCCUGGCUGGGGCUCUGUCACUACAGAGCAAGUGUUUAGUAGGGGUUAAGGGAUGGCUGGGACUGUAGUCAAUGAAACAGGCAGCGUAGCCCAGACUGUGCUUCUGGGACAGCUAUUGCUUUUUCUCCAUGACUUCCUGGAGGAUCUCUUGCUCUGCAAGAGUUGCUGUGGCCUUCUCUAAUGUCCUUGCCUUGCUCCAGGUGAGGAAUGCCAUCCAGAGGAUGAAGGACAAGAAGAAAGCACUCUCAUUCACAAACUGCUCUCAUCCCAUCAACUACUUAUCAAGUCCAAGAAACACAACCUCCUGGGAGACCGGGAAACUGAGUCCUGCAGCUGAGAGUGCCUUGUCGAGCCCUGUGCAGAAAGAUCCACCAGUGAAGAACAUCACCAACAAAGGUAAAGAGGGUUGUCACUGCUGUUGGCCCAGGCUGUGGGAUGAGACCACAGUAAAACAUUCCCAAGGCGUGAAAGAGGCAGUAGGAAAUAGUUUUUUUAGCUUCUGGGAAGAAAGGUAUUGCAAGCUCCAACCUGUUUGUGGGUAAAAAGAUUUACUUGCAAUUACGCAGAUAACCUGGUUGGUCCCUUUGCUUCAGUGGAAGAUAUUUAGGGGACAUAAAGCACUGAGUUCUUGGUAAAGCUUGAAUAUUUCUGCUCUCUGGUCUCCAAACUCAUUGUGCUUUUUCCCCCCCUAGGCAACUUUGGAGCCAAAAUUCCCAUGGGGAUUUCAUCAAUUAUGUCACCAGAGAGACCGGUAUGUAAUGUCUUCUGAUAUUCUACCACCUUCACUCAUAUACAGAGCAUAGCAGUUAUGUGGGAAUGGUAUAUAGCGGUUCUAGCGAAGGGCUGGGCCUCGGAACACCUGGUGGUGUUACCAGCUCUGGCACAAAUUCAGUGGUUUACGCUGAGCAAGUCUCAGAAGCUGUCUGACUCAUCCAUCCUGUUUGCAGACCGAGGAUAACGAUGAUUCCCUCUGUCCCAGGAUGUUACAACACUUGCCAAAUGUUUGUAAUGGACCAGAGACAGUGUGUUAUCGCAGCGUAGAUGCCCUGUUCCCGAGGACCAAUCUAGACACGUGGUCUGUCUGGACUGAAACAAAAAAAAAAAAAGGUCUUGAUACGAACCCUGGACACACUCACUUAUUAAAAUAUGUACUGGUUAUUAGUAGCAUAUUCAUUUAAGUCAUUUAAAUAACUUAAGAUAUGUGACUUCAUGCCCAUAACUGCCACUUCUAGCAAUCAAGCCAUAGGAUGAUGCUGAGCAUAGGAUGCUGUUCAGGGGGAGGAGAGGUGGCUGGCUGGCAGGGAGGCUCUCCUGGCUGGGGACCGCCUUGGCUCUUCAGUGACCAUGGGGGCUUGGCUCGGGAGGCUGUUCCCUGACCUUUUGGGCUGGUCUGGGGCAGGGCAGGCAGCUGAGGGCAAUGCAGGAGAGCAGGAGAGUGCUGGCAAGGGGGCAGGCAGGGAGGAACCCCCUGGUGCAGCCACUUCCCAAGCAGAGAGCUCACCCCUGGCUGCAGGAACCAGCGCUGCCGCAGCUUUAUUCCCGGCCGCACCCAGGGCUUGCAGCUCCUCUCCAGGAGGGGGGCGCAGCUGGGGGCUGAUUUACGGCAGGGGAUAUCAAUGAACAGAAGGAGCUCGUGAAUUUGAGUACAUGAAGCACAGAGCAGCAGUCGGUACAGCUCAUGGCAAGAGAUUCCCCCCAGGGCCAGCAAGUUUAAAAAGGGCAGCGGGGGCUUGUUGGCUGUGCAGCAGCUGAGCCGCAUCCAUCCAGGGAGGGCAGCCCUGUAUUGUUCUGCAGCCAUUUCGCUCCCCCAGCAGAAGUGAGUCUGACGUAGAGCUCAGCAAGGCAUGGCCUAAAGUGGAGAACAAUUUAAAUUUGACUACUCUGAUACCACUUCCAUCUCCCACUAUUGAAAUGAUCAUCAGUCCUUGUGCACUUGACAUACAAGUGCUGUAAUUUCCUCAGAAUAAAAUCCAACACUACUUUCA